rnacentral:rRNA from 1 species
CCUACGGGGGACAGCAGUGAGGAAUAUUGGUCAAUGGACGCAAGUCUGAACCAGCCAUGCCGCGUGCAGGAAGACGGCUCUAUGAGUUGUAAACUGCUUUUGUACGAGGGUAAACUCAGAUACGCGUAUCUGUCUGAAAGUAUCGUACGAAUAAGGAUCGGCUAACUCCGUGCCAGCAGCCGCGGUAAUACGGAGGAUUCAAGCGUUAUCCGGAUUUAUUGGGUUUAAAGGGUGCGUAGGCGGUCGGAUAAGUUAGAGGUGAAAUCCCGAGGCUCAACUUCGGAAUUGCCUCUGAUACUGGUUGGCUAGAGAGUAGGUGCGGUAGGCGGAAUGUAUGGUGUAGCGGUGAAAUGCUUAGAGAUCAUACAGAACACCGAUUGCGAAGGCAGCUUACCAGGCUACAUCUGACGUUGAGGCACGAAAGCGUGGGGAGCAAACAGGAUUAGAUACCCGAGUAGUC